UUUCGCGGGGUGUCGUACCUAACCCUAAAUGAGGAUGACCUCCUGUGCCCAACGUUUGCUGUUUUCUCCUCUGUGUGUGGCUUUCAGUGAACCACAGGAGGUUUUUUUGUGGCGCUGGGAACGUUUACCAAACAAAAAAAGCCAAGAGCGUCACUCCGUCAUGUUCAGUUUCCCGACAGAAACACCGUGAGUGUGGUCAGCCCGGCUGCCGCGAAGAGUUGGUCUCUGUUGCUCCGGUGUCUUCAUGGCGGGAGUCUCGGCAACUGAGCAGAUAAAAACUGAGCAGGGCGACUCUACCGGGGCUCCAGUGGCCCGGUUAGGAAGCCCAAGCUCAAACACAC
rnacentral:telomerase_RNA from 1 species